CGCGCGCGCCGCACCGCUGGCGGUUGGCCUCACACCGGCGUGGGCCUCGCACGGGGGCUCAGUGCUCACGCAUGACGCAGCACAGCUGUUUAUUUGCUUUGCUUGUAAAAAUUGUUUUUCUUAAAACAAUACUGAGUUAUUACCUCGAGUAUCGUGUAAUUAGGUCAACUUACUGACGUCAAGAACUUACAAGAGCAAGAGGAUAACUGAUAAUGGUCCAGCGAAGUUGACACAAUUAUAGUAGUCGAGCAUUAGUACGUCUACAGUACGCGCUGGUGAAAACCAACUCAUAAACCACUUGGCUUCGGCUUACAAAACUAAAGAGCACGAAGGGGUGGUGAGAGAUUGUUCCAGAUUUUGCUGGCAAGAUAUCUGAAACUCCCUCUGAAACCGGAAGAAUGAUGUGACGGCGUGUUUAGUAAAUAAGACGAACCUCUAGUAGUGACAGUCAGCUUAUUAUCACUAGCCCAUUGUAAUUUGUCAAAGAGGUAGGUCGGUAUUCUAAAUUUAAUUACCCCGAAUAAAAGAGUGGCGAAAUGUACCUGCCUGCGACCAUCCAUCUUAAGCCAACGUAAUUUAUUAAUAUAGGGAGUGACGUGUGAACGGGGUGGAAUGUCACAACAGAACCUAGCGCAUGCAUUCUGUACCUUCUGCACAACUCGUUUAGAUCUCGACAGGAGGCAGGGCCCUGUGACUACGUCCGCAUAAUUUAAGUUGGACAGUACCAAGGAUUCACACAGAGUGCUACGUAGAUUUUCAGAUAUGAGGCUUCUGAUGUUAUAUAAAACUUUUAGGCGGUAAAAACAUCGACUUGCAGUUUUUAUUAUGUGUUUUUCAAAUUUAAGCUCCUCAUCUAGUAAUAGUCCUAAAUUACGAGCUUCAUAUACUCUCUCAAUAUUUUUAUUUUUAAUGUGUACUACAGGAGAGAGGGCAGUGACCUUUUUAAUUUGAGUUUUGGUUCCCAAUACUAUGAAUUUUGUUUUGUCAGGGUUCAGUACCAGAGCAUUAGACUCUGACCACUCACUUAUCCGUGCUAGGUCUUCAUUGAGCUUGGCUAUAGCCGCAUGAGCAUCACAGGGCUUAAAAGAUAUAUACACUUGCAGGUCAUCCGCAAAUAGGUGAUGUUUACUAUUGUGUAUGUGGCGGGUGAUAUCGGCACCAUAAAUAGAAAACAUUUGUGGCCCAGCUACCGAUCCCUGCGGGACCCCUCUGUCUACCUGACGUGGAACUGAACGUAACGGCUCUCCUUUAU